GAUGAACGCUGGCGGCGUGCCUAAUACAUGCAAGUCGAGCGAACAGACGAGGAGCUUGCUCCUCUGACGUUAGCGGCGGACGGGUGAGUAACACGUGGAUAACCUACCUAUAAGACUGGGAUAACUUCGGGAAACCGGAGCUAAUACCGGAUAAUAUAUUGAACCGCAUGGUUCAAUAGUGAAAGACGGUUUUGCUGUCACUUAUAGAUGGAUCCGCGCCGCAUUAGCUAGUUGGUAAGGUAACGGCUUACCAAGGCAACGAUGCGUAGCCGACCUGAGAGGGUGAUCGGCCACACUGGAACUGAGACACGGUCCAGACUCCUACGGGAGGCAGCAGUAGGGAAUCUUCCGCAAUGGGCGAAAGCCUGACGGAGCAACGCCGCGUGAGUGAUGAAGGUCUUCGGAUCGUAAAACUCUGUUAUUAGGGAAGAACAAAUGUGUAAGUAACUAUGCACGUCUGGACGGUACCUAAGCAGAAAGCCACGGCUAACUACGU
rnacentral:rRNA from 1 species